rnacentral:rRNA from 1 species
GACGAACGCUGGCGGCGUGCUUAACACAUGCAAGUCGAACGGAAAGGCCCCUUUGGGGGUACUCGAGUGGCGAACGGGUGAGUAACACGUGAGUAACCUGCCCUUGACUUCGGGAUAACUUCAGGAAACUGGGGCUAAUACCGGAUAGGAAUCCUUGCUGCAUGGUGGGGGUUGGAAAGCUUCGGCGGUUUUGGAUGGACUCGCGGCUUAUCAGCUUGUUGGUGGGGUAGUGGCUUACCAAGGCUUUGACGGGUAGCCGGCCUGAGAGGGCGACCGGCCACAUUGGGACUGAGAUACGGCCCAGACUCCUACGGGAGGCAGCAGUGGGGAAUAUUGCACAAUGGGCCCAAGCCUGAUGCAGCAACGCCGCGUGCGGGAGGACGGCCUUCGGGUUGUAAACCGCUUUCAGCAGGGGCGAAGCUUGUGGUGACGGUACCUGCAGAAAAAGCACCGGCUAACUACGUG